GGGGAAUUUUGGACAAUGGGGGAAACCCUGAUCCAGCAAUGCCGCGUGAGUGAAGAAGGCCUUCGGGUUGUAAAGCUCUUUCAGUUGAGAAGAAAAGAUUGUGACUAAUAAUCAUAAUUAAUGACAGUAUCAACAGAAGAAGCACCGGCUAACUACGUGCCAGCAGCCGCGGUAAUACGUAGGGUGCGAGCGUUAAUCGGAAUUACUGGGCGUAAAGGGUGCGCAGGCGGUUAUGUAAGUCAGAUGUGAAAUCCCCGGGCUUAACCUGGGAAUUGCGUUUGAAACUACAUGACUAGAGUGUAACAGAGGGAAGUGGAAUUCCAUGUGUAGCAGUGAAAUGCGUAGAGAUAUGGAGGAACAUCGAUGGCGAAGGCAGCUUCCUGGGUUAACACUGACGCUCAUGCACGAAAGCGUGGGGAGCAAAC
rnacentral:rRNA from 1 species